GUGGGGUGACUGCGUACCUUUUGUAUAAUGGGUCAGCGACUUAUAUUCUGUAGCAAGGUUAACCGAAUAGGGGAGCCGGAGGGAAACCGAGUCUUAAUUGGGCGUU
rnacentral:rRNA from 1 species